rnacentral:rRNA from 1 species
GAUGAACGCUGGCGGCGUGCCUAAUACAUGCAAGUCGAGCGAACGGACGAGAAGCUUGCUUCUCUGAUGUUAGCGGCGGACGGGUGGGUAACACGUGGAUAACCUACCUAUAAGACUGGGAUAACUUCGGGAAACCGGAGCUAAUACCGGAUAAUAUUUUGAACCGCAUGGUUCAAAAGUGAAAGACGGUCUUGCUGUCACUUAUAGAUGGAUCCGCGCUGCAUUAGCUAGUUGGUAAGGUAACGGCUUACCAAGGCAACGAUGCAUAGCCGACCUGAGAGGGUAAUCGGCCACACUGGAACUGAGACACGGUCCAGACUCCUACGGGAGGCAGCAGUAGGGAAUCUUCCGCAAUGGGCGAAAGCCUGACGGAGCAACGCCGCGUGAGUGAUGAAGGUCUUCGGAUCGUAAAACUCUGUUAUUAGGGAAGAACAUAUGUGUAAGUAACUGUGCACAUCUUGACGGUACCUAAUCAGAAAGCCACGGCUAACUACGUG